UACGAAGGGGGCAAGCGUUGUUCGGAAUUACUGGGCGUAAAGCGCACGUAGGCGGCUUUGCAAGUCAGAGGUGAAAGCCUGGAGCUCAACUCCAGAAUUGCCUUUGAGACUGCAUCGCUUGAACCCGGGAGAGGUGAGUGGAAUUCCGAGUGUAGAGGUGAAAUUCGUAGAUAUUCGGAAGAACACCAGUGGCGAAGGCGGCUCACUGGACUGGUAUUGACGCUGAGGUGCGAAAGCGUGGGGAUCAAACAGG
rnacentral:rRNA from 1 species